UACGUAGGGUCCGAGCGUUGUCCGGAAUUAUUGGGCGUAAAGGGCUCGUAGGCGGUUUGUCGCGUCUGCUGUGAAAACCCGAGGCUCAACCUCGGGCCUGCAGUGGGUACGGGCAGACUAGAGUGCGGUAGGGGAGACUGGAAUUCCUGGUGUAGCGGUGAAAUGCGCAGAUAUCGGGAGGAACACCUAUGGCGAAGGCAGCUCGCUGGGACGUUACUGACGCUGAGACGCGAAAGCGUGGGGAGCAAACAGG
rnacentral:rRNA from 1 species